UACGAAGGGGGCUAGCGUUGUUCGGAAUCACUGGGCGUAAAGCGCACGUAGGCGGGUUGUUAAGUCAGGGGUGAAAUCCUGGAGCUCAACUCCAGAACUGCCUUUGAUACUGGCAACCUAGAGACUGGAAGAGGUUAGUGGAAUUCCCAGUGUAGAGGUGAAAUUCGUAGAUAUUGGGAAGAACACCAGUGGCGAAGGCGGCUAACUGGUCCAGUACUGACGCUGAGGUGCGAAAGCGUGGGGAGCAAACAGG
rnacentral:rRNA from 1 species